GAUAAGAUUGCGAUGUCGGCUCUUCCCAUCCUGGUCCUGCAGCAGGGGCCAAGGGUGGGGCUGCUCGCCCAUUAAAGGGGAACGUGAGCUGGGUUUAGACCGUCGUGAGACAGGUCGGCCUCUACCUGAUGGAAGCGGAAGAACACUGCGAGGAAGCGCUGCCCAGUACGAGAGGAACAGCGGCGCGUAGCCUCUGGCGUACCGGUUGUCCGAGAGGGCAUCGCCGGGCAGCUAAGCAAUUGUGGAUAACCGCUGAAAGCAUCUAAGCGGGAAGCCACUCCCAAGAAGAGUGUUCCAUCAGCACACCUUUUCCUCCGCAAGGGGGAGGAGGAAGCUGACGAGAGCGGCGAUAGAAGAUCGCGUUGAAGGGAUGGGGGUGUACGCUAGAAGCCUUCGGGCGACUAGUUCAGCCCGUCCAUCACCUAUAGCUCAAGGUGUGAGUGAA
rnacentral:rRNA from 1 species